rnacentral:rRNA from 1 species
UGCAUGGUUGUCGUCAGCUCGUGUCGUGAGAUGUGGUUAAGUCCCGCAACGAGCGCAACCCUCGACCUUAGUUGCCAGCAUUCAGUUGGGCACUCUAAGGUGACUGCCGGCUAAAAGUCGGAGGAAGGUGGGGAUGACGUCAAAUCAUCAUGCCCCUUAUGACCUGGGCUACACACGUGCUACAAUGGGCGGUACAAAGGGUCGCGAACCCGCGAGGGGGAGCCAAUCCCAAAAAGCCGCUCUCAGUUCGGAUUGCAGGCUGCAACUCGCCUGCAUGAAGCCGGAAUCGCUAGUAAUCGCGGAUCAGCAUGCCGCGGUGAAUACGUUCCCGGGCCUU